ACUCAGGUUUCCGUGUCCAACGUUUCACCGUCCGUUUAAUUUUAAAAUAUUAUGAAAAAAAAUAAAAAGACAAAUCACGCAUAAAGUAUUAAUCAUGUUUUAUUAUCUAACAACAAUAAAAAUACUAAUUAUAAAAAAAAUUUCAUAUAAGACGGACAAUCAAACAUUGGACACGGAAACCUAGAGUUUGUCUUUUU
rnacentral:pre_miRNA from 1 species